rnacentral:rRNA from 1 species
GCUACACAUGCAGUCGAGCGGAUGAGUGGAGCUUGCUCCAUGAUUCAGCGGCGGACGGGUGAGUAAUGCCUAGGAAUCUGCCUGGUAGUGGGGGACAACGUUUCGAAAGGAACGCUAAUACCGCAUACGUCCUACGGGAGAAAGUGGGGGAUCUUCGGACCUCACGCUAUCAGAUGAGCCUAGGUCGGAUUAGCUAGUUGGUGAGGUAAAGGCUCACCAAGGCGACGAUCCGUACUGGUCUGAGAGGAUGAUCAGUCACACUGGAACUGAGACACGGUCCAGACUCCUACGGGAGGCAGCAGUGGGGAAUAUUGGACAAUGGGCGAAAGCCUGAUCCAGCCAUGCCGCGUGUGUGAAGAAGGUCUUCGGAUUGUAAAGCACUUUAAGUUGGGAGGAAGGGCAGUAAGUUAAUACCUUGCUGUUUUGACGUUACCAACAGAAUAAGCACCGGCUAACUUCGUGCCAGCAGCCGCGGUAAUACGAAGGGUGCAAGCGUUAAUCGGAAUUACUGGGCGUAAAGCGCGCGUAGGUGGUUCGUUAAGUUGGAUGUGAAAGCCCCGGGCUCAACCUGGGAACUGCAUCCAAAACUGGCGAGCUAGAGUAUGGCAGAGGGUGGUGGAAUUUCCUGUGUAGCGGUGAAAUGCGUAGAUAUAGGAAGGAACACCAGUGGCGAAGGCGACCACCUGGGCUAAUACUGACACUGAGGUGCGAAAGCGUGGGGAGCAAACAGGAUU